rnacentral:rRNA from 1 species
UACGGAGGGAGCUAGCGUUGUUCGGAUAUACUGGGCGUAAAGCGCACGUAGGCGGCGCAGCAAGUCAGGGGUGAAAUCCCGGAGCUCAACUCCGGAACUGCCUUUGAAACUGCAGUGCUAGAAUCCUGGAGAGGCGAGUGGAAUUCCGAGUGUGGAGGUGAAAUUCGUAGAUAUUCGGAAGAACACCAGUGGCGAAGGCGACUCGCUGGACAGGUAUUGACGCUGAGGUGCGAAAGCGUGGGGAGCAAACAGG